CCUACGGGUGGCUGCAGUAAGGAAUAUUGGACAAUGGGCGGAAGCCUGAUCCAGCCAUCCCGCGUGCCGGAUGAAGGCCCUCUGGGUCGUAAACGGCUUUAGACUGGGAAGAAACCGCUUGGUGCGCCAGGCGUUGACGGUACCAGUAGAAUAAGCACCGGCUAACUCCGUGCCAGCAGCCGCGGUAAUACGGAGGGUGCAAGCGUUAUCCGGAAUCACUGGGUUUAAAGGGUGCGUAGGCGGCUUUUUAAGUCAGGGGUGAAAGCUUCGCGCUU
rnacentral:rRNA from 1 species